rnacentral:rRNA from 1 species
CGGGGGCUACCCUACUCCCGUAGGGUUUAGAGUCGUCGGGCCUCUCGGAGAAGCUCGGUCCUGAACUCCACCCUUGAAUAAACUACCUUUGUUGCUUUGGCGGGCCGCCUCGUGCCAGCGGCUUCGGCUGUUGAGUGCCCGCCAGAGGACCCCAACUCUUGUUUUUAGUGAUGUCUGAGUACUAUAUAAUAGUUAAAACUUUCAACAACGGAUCUCUUGGUUCUGGCAUCGAUGAAGAACGCAGCGAAAUGCGAUAAGUAAUGUGAAUUGCAGAAUUCAGUGAAUCAUCGAAUCUUUGAACGCACAUUGCGCCCUCUGGUAUUCCGGGGGGCAUGCCUGUUCGAGCGUCAUUAUAACCACUCAAGCUCUCGCUUGGUAUUGGGGUUCGCGGUUUCGCGGCCCCUAAAAUCAGUGGCGGUGCCUGUCGGCUCUACGCGUAGUAAUACUCCUCGCGAUUGAGUCCGGUAGGUCUACUUGCCAGCAACCCCUAAUUUUUUUAAGGUUGACCUCGGAUCAGGUAGGGAUACCCGCUGAACUUAAGCAUAUCAAA